rnacentral:rRNA from 1 species
CUGAUCAGCCAUGCCGCGUGUGUGAAGAAGGCCUUUUGGUUGUAAAGCACUUUAAGUGGGGAGGAGGCUUACCUGGUUAAUACCUGGGAUAAGUGGACGUUACCCGCAGAAUAAGCACCGGCUAACUCUGUGCCAGCAGCCGCGGUAAU